CGAGCGGCGAACGGGUGAGUAACACGUGAGCAACCUGCCCCUGACUCCGGGAUAAGCGGUGGAAACGCCGUCUAAUACCGGAUACGACCCGUGGUCUCCUGGCCGCGGGUGGAAAGUUUUUUCGGUCGGGGAUGGGCUCGCGGCCUAUCAGCUUGUUGGUGGGGUAACGGCCUACCAAGGCGAUUACGGGUAGCCGGCCUGAGAGGGCGACCGGCCACACUGGGACUGAGACACGGCCCAGACUCCUGCGGGAGGCAGCAGUGGGGAAUAUUGCGCAAUGGGCGAAAGCCUGACGCAGCGACGCCGCGUGGGGGAUGACGGCCUUCGGGUUGUAAACCUCUUUUACCACCAACGCAGGCUCCCGGUUCUCCGGGGGUUGACGGUAGGUGGGGAAUAAGGACCGGCUAACUACGUGCCAGCAGCCGCGGUAAUACGUAGGGUCCGAGCGUUGUCCGGAAUUAUUGGGCGUAAAGAGCUCGUAGGCGGCGUGUCGCGUCUGCUGUGAAAGACCGGGGCUUAACUCCGGUUCUGCAGUGGAUACGGGCAUGCUAGAGGUAGGUAGGGGAGACUGGAAUUCCUGGUGUAGCGGUGAAAUGCGCAGAUAUCAGGAGGAACACCGGUGGCGAAGGCGGGUCUCUGGGCCUUACCUGACGCUGAGGAGCGAAAGCAUGGGGAGCGAACAGGAUUAGAUACCCUGGUAGUCCAUG
rnacentral:rRNA from 1 species